GUUGUGGCUCAGUGGUAGAGCACUCACCUAGCAUGGUCAAGGCCCUGGGUUCGAUCCCCAGCACAACA
rfam:Ictidomys tridecemlineatus contig013345, whole genome shotgun sequence.